GGAUGGACCUGCGGUGCAUUAGCUAGUUGGUAAGGCAAUGGCUUACCAAGGCGAUGAUGCAUAGCCGAGUUGAGAGACUGAUCGGCCACAAUGGAACUGAGACACGGUCCAUACUCCUACGGGAGGCAGCAGUAGGGAAUCUUCCACAAUGGGCGCAAGCCUGAUGGAGCAACACCGCGUGAGUGAAGAAGGGUUUCGGCUCGUAAAGCUCUGUUGUUGGAGAAGAACGUGCGUGAGAGUAACUGUUCACGCAGUGACGGUAUCCAACCAGAAAGUCACGGCUAACUACGUGCCAGCAGCCGCGGUAAUACGUAGGUGGCAAGCGUUAUCCGGAUUUAUUGGGCGUAAAGCGAGCGCAGGCGGUUGCUUAGGUCUGAUGUGAAAGCCUUCGGCUUAACCGAAGAAGUGCAUCGGAAACCGGGCAACUUGAGUGCAGAAGAGGACAGUGGAACUCCAUGUGUAGCGGUGGAAUGCGUAGAUAUAUGGAAGAACACCAGUGGCGAAGGCGGCUGUCUGGUCUGCAACUGACGCUGAGGCUCGAAAGCAUGGGUAGCGAACAGGAUUAGAUACCCUGGUAGUCCAUGCCGUAAACGAUGAGUGCUAAGUGUUGGAGGGUUUCCGCCCUUCA
rnacentral:rRNA from 1 species